UGAACCCACUGAGUGAGACCAGGGAUUGAAGCCACUUCCUCACUGGAUACAAGUUGAGUUUGUGACUACUGUACCACAUGGGCAACUCCUGGCAAAUCCAAUUCUACACUGAGAAAUCAGGAGUUUCCCUCCUGGUUCAGCAGGAUAAGAACCCAACCUAGUGUCCAGGACAAUGAGGGUUCAAUCCCUGGUUCACUCAGUGGGUUAAGGAUUCAGCAUUUCCCCAAGCUGCAGUGUAGGUCACAAGAUUUGGCUCAGAACAGUGUGGCUAUGGCUGUAGUGCAGAUGGGCACCUGCAGCUUUGAUUCAACCCCUAGCACGGGAACUUCCAUAUGCCUUUCAAAGGAAAACUGUUGAAAUAAAAACACAAAAAAUAAACAUGAGAAAUCAAGAUUCAUCAGCAAUCAAAACCAUGCUAUUUCAGCAGGAUGGCAUAUCCCCAAAGCUUCCCCAAAUCCCAUCAACUAUUCCAAUCUUUAAUACAUCUUCCCUAAAGUUUAUUAUUUGAUGGAAAUGAUUUUUGUUAUUCUAGGAAUUCCUUUAACAUUUUUUUCGCACUUCCUUCACGCGGCCCUAAAUUUUCCAAUUUAGAAAUCUUUCAUAGGCAUUUGCUGAAACUAUCAAUUGUUUAAUGAUGUUCAGAGUAAAAUGACUAACAAAACAGAGACUUCAAGCAUAUAAUAUGAAAGAUAUAUGGAAUAGAAAACCAGGUGGAGAGGAAAUAAGAUAAAUUAUGAGAUGAUCACAGAAAAUAUUUGUUUAAAAUAUUUGUAAAAUAUAUUUGCUUAAAAUAUCAAAGAAAGAUGAUUUUCCAGAAAAAAAUAUGAAGUGUCAAAAUUCAUUCUGAUAAUAAACAAAAUACAUUCAUUUAAAGGAAAAAAUUAGCAGAGUAACAAAACUCUUGGGGGAGACACAAGGCCUUGACAAACACUUCUGAGUGUAGUAAAACUUUUCUAGGCAUUAAUUUUGUGAUACUAUAUGUCAAUAGUACAAAGAGCAGUCAAAUAUACCACAAAAAAAGGAAAAUAAGGGCGUUCCCAUCGUGGCUCAGCAGAAACAAAUAUGACUAGCAUCCCUGAGGACACAGGUUUGAUACCUGGCCUUGCUUAGUGGGUUAAGGACCUGACGUUACCUUGAGCUGUGGUCUAGGUCGCAGAUGCAGCUUGGAUCCCUCAUUGCUGUGGCUGUGGCACAGGCCAGUGGCAACAGCUCAUUUGACCCCUAUCCUCAGAACUCCCAUAUAGGGGAUGUCCUAAAAAGACAAAAAAUCUUUAGGAUUUUUUCAUAGAACCUCUUACCUGGAGUUACUUUGCUGCUCACAAAAGCCUCUUCCCUGAGCAUGAAUACACACUCCUCUUUCUGAAAGCACUUACUAAGCCCAAAUGGAUCACCCAGAUGACAGCAGGGAAGAAACCCUGGUUGAGCUGAUGGAGCGAAGUAUGGAUGGUGAGAGAUCUCUAGAAAGAAAGUUGGUUUGAGAUCCAAACAGACCAGGGGUCAGCAAGGUGACAAUAUUCUUCAUCUUGGGUCAGUGUGCUGGGAGAACAGGGACAAAUAUGGAAUGUUUAUCCUUUCAAGGACAUCCUGGUUUGAAUCCUCAAAGUGCCUAAUUAAAUACAUGUUCCUAGUGUGACUCUAUUUCUAAACAGCAUUGGCCCUUGGAAAAGAAAGAACAAUAAUAAAACUGGAAACUAUGACUGACAAUUCUAUUCCCACAUGGAAAGUUUAGAGACAGUAAUUUUGUUUUCAUCUUGGCAGUUGUCUCCUUGGGGUUGAUGUCACAGUUCAGGAUUCUCUCCAAAAAAUAUCCUGUUAGAAUCUGAACUGCAUGUUCUUUGCCAGUCAAAUGCCUUAAAUACAAUUGUAUAGGGCCUGCUAUAUCUCUGACAGCACCUUGAAUCAAAGACUGGCCCUCUCAGAUAAGAAUCUAAUAAUACAUGAUACUGUUAAAAAAAACAUUAAUACAAAUAGUGGGGGGAAGGAUGGACAGGGAGUUUGGGAUUGGCAUAUGCACAGAGUGGUAUAUGGAAUGAUUGGCCAGUAGUGACAGAGAAUUCUACCCAGUAUUGUGAUUAUAUAUUUGGCAAGACUCUGAAAGAUAAUGAAUAUUUGUACAUGUAUUACUGAAUCAUAUUGUUGUACAGCAGAAAUAAUCACAACACUAUAAGUCCACUGUACUUCAACAAAACUUUAAAAGUGAAAAAAAUGCAUUUAAAGUGAAAUAAAAUGGAAAACAUUUGUAGUAGGAAAAUCAACAUUGCUAUAUAUUAAAGACACCUAUUUCCCCUACACCGGCAUGUAAAAUCAAAAUAGAAGAGAAUCAACAAAGCCAAUAAGUUCACUUUGGGAAAAAAAUUAAAAAUAAACAAAGAAAAAUGAAAAAAAAUAAUAGGGAGUUCCCAUCAGGGCUCAGUGGUAACAAACCCAGCCAGUAUCCAUGAGGACUUGGGUUCAAUCCGUGUCCUCGAUCAGUGGGUUGAGGAUCCAGCAUUGCCUUGAGCUCUGCUGUGGUCAGAGAUGAUGCUUGGAUAUGGCAUUGCUGUGGCUGUGGUGAAGGCCUGAAGCUACAGCUCUCAUCUGAGUCCUAGCAUGGGUGGAAACUUCCAUAUGCUGAAGGUGCAGCCUUAAGACAAAAACAAAAAAAAGGUGCACAUUAUGGACACACACAAACACACUACCUAUGUAAUUUUCAUGAAUACAUAAGUAAGGAAAAUGACUGGAAGCAAGUAUCUUUAAGUGUUAAUAUUGGUUAUUUCUGAGAGGAAGAUGUGCAUACUUAAUAUAGUA
rnacentral:lncRNA from 1 species